CCCUUUGUGAACAAUUCUUGUUGCUUCGGGGGCGACCCUGCCCGCUCACGCGGUCCUGGCGCCCCCGGAGGCCUUUAAACACUGCAUCAAUGCGUCGGAGUUUAAGUAAAUUAAACAAAACUUUCAACAACGGAUCUCUUGGUUCUGGCAUCGAUGAAGAACGCAGCGAAAUGCGAUAAGUAAUGUGAAUUGCAGAAUUCAGUGAAUCAUCGAAUCUUUGAACGCACAUUGCGCCCUGUGGUAUUCCGCAGGGCAUGCCUGUUCGAGCGUCAUUUCACCACUCAAGCCUCGCUUGGUAUUGGGCGCCGCGGCUCGCCGCGCGCCUCAAAGUUUCCGGCUGAGCCGUUCGUCUCUAAGCGUUGUGAUACAUAUUCGCUUCGGAGUGCGAACGGUCCCACGGCCGUUAAAUCUUUCACAAGG
rnacentral:misc_RNA from 1 species